UGGGGAAUCUUGCGCUAAUGCGGGAAACCGUGACGCAGCGACGCCGCGUGAGGGAAGAAGGCCUUCGGGUUGUAAACCUCUUUCAGGAGGGACGAAGCUACUCGGGUUAAUAGCCCAGAGGGUGACGGUACCUCCAGAAGAAGCCCCGGCUAACUACGUGCCAGCAGCCGCGGUAAUACGUAGGGGGCAAGCGUUGUCCGGAUUUAUUGGGCGUAAAGAGCGUGUAGGCGGCUUUACAGGUCCGUUGUGAAAACUCGGGGCUCAACCUCGAGACGCCGGUGGAAACCGUAAAGCUAGAGUCCGGAAGAGGAGAGUGGAAUUCCUGGUGUAGCGGUGAAAUGCGCAGAUAUCAGGAGGAACACCCGUGGCGAAAGCGGCUCUCUGGGACGGUACUGACGCUGAGACGCGAAAGCGUGGGGAGCAAACAGGAUUAGAUACCCUGGUAGUCCACGCCGUAAACGAUGGGUGCUAGGUGUGGGCGGUGUCGACUCCGUCCGUGCCGUAGCUAACGCAUUAAGCACCCCGCCUGGGGAGUACGGCCGCAAGGCUAA
rnacentral:rRNA from 1 species